rnacentral:tRNA from 1 species
GCCCUGUUAGCUCAGUUGGUAGAGCGGCUCCCUCUUAAGGAGAUGGUCGUAGGUUCGAACCCUACACAGGGUA